AUCUGUCAGAGGGAGAGCAGGAGUGCAGAUGGGAAGUUUAACGUUGGUGGUCCCCAGAGAAGAAAUUGGUAAUUUCAUAGCACAGAUUAGAACCCAAAUU